rnacentral:rRNA from 1 species
UUGUGGUUAAAAAGCUCGUAGUUGGAUCUCAACAGCCUUAAAGCGGUUAACUUUGUAGUUUUACUGCUUUAUAGGCUGUGCUUUUGCUGGAGGUUUAGGGGUGCUCUUGAUCGAGUGUCUCUGGAUGCCAGCAGGUUUACUUUGAAAAAAUUAGAGUGCUCAAAGCAGGCUAAAAUGACUGAAUAUUCGUGCAUGGAAUAAUAGAAUAGGAUGUCGAUCCUAUUUUGUUGGUUUUCGGGACUCGACAUAAUGAUAAAUAGGGACAGUCGGGGGCAUUUGUAUUCAAACGACAGAGGUGAAAUUCUUGGACCGUUUGAAGACAAACUACUGCGAAAGCAUUUGCCAAGAAUGUUUUCAUUAAUCAAGAACGAAAGUUAGAGGUUCGAAGGCGAUUAGAUACCGCCCUAGUUCUAACCAUAAACGAUGCCAGCUAGCGAUCUGCCUGCGUUUUUACUGUAGACUGGGCAGGAAGCUUCCGGGAAACCAAAGCAUUUGGGUUCCAGGGGAAGUAUGGUUGCAAAGCUGAAACUUAAAGGAAUUGACGGAAGGGCACCACCAGGAGUGGAGCCUGUGGCUUAA